UAGACAGCUGAGAAAAAAAGGAAAACAAAUAUUCAAGCAUGAGGAAAACAGUUGCAGCUGGUAUGCAAAUAAUUAAGAAGAGACAUCUUAAACUGUUGAAAAGAGGGGAUAGAUCUAAAAGACCUAGGUAAACCACGUGUUGUCCUU